UUGUGACUGAUAAUGUCAAACAAGAUAACAUAAAAAUAGAAGUCCCAAUAAUAUUAGAUACCACAAACUAAUGAUCCAUAAAUGAUGCAAAUUUCAGAGUCCAUUUAUUCAUAUCAAUUCAGUCCAGAAUCAAGUAACUAGUUGACUUACCAAAUCAACAAUGAUCAAUUGCUAAAGAAACCAAUUUUAACAAAAUUGUUAAAGAAAGAAAACCAGUAAUAGGAUCAGCUCAGAACAAAAUUAGACCAUAUCUCCUAACCGUAAAACCAUAAAUCAACAUAGAUGCAUCAAUCAAAGGACGAAAUUAACCUUGCAGCACAAAUAGCAAGCAAAAUCAGACAUUAUUAUCCGAAACUGAGAAAUAUAAGAUUAAACAUAGCCAAAAUCCAGGUUCACAUGAAGUAAAACCGCUAACAAUAAUAACAGUAAUAUCAAAAAACCUCUUAGAACAGAAAGCAUCCUAUCAUUGAAUAUUUAGAAACGACAAACUUCACCACUUAAAAGUUUCAAAAUUAAUCAACACUCUGCAUAAUAUCCUCAGCUGUGAACUUGGUUCCCUUGUCCUUGUCAGCGGCGGCACGACCCUUGGCCUUGCGGUCAAGCAGAGACUUGCGGUCCUUGUCAAGGCGGAGCUUGGUGAUGACAACCUUUGAAGGGUUGAUUCCGACGUUGACAGUGGAGCCAUUCACCUUCUCCCUGGUGAUGCGCUCAAUGUGGAUGACCCACUUGCGACGGUAGACCUGGACAACCUUUCCCUCGCGACCCUUGAAUGUGCCACGCACAAUCUGCACCUCGUCGUCUUUGCGUACCGGCAUAGAUCGGACGUUGUACUUCUGACGGAGGUCAGUGGAGAGAGGUGCGCUCAUGAGGAUCCGGCGAACGGAGGAGGGGGCCGUGAAAUGGGCCUUCCGA
rnacentral:misc_RNA from 1 species